rnacentral:rRNA from 1 species
AGUGAACGCUGGCGGUAGGCCUAACACAUGCAAGUCGAACGGCAGCACAGUAAGAGCUUGCUCUUACGGGUGGCGAGUGGCGGACGGGUGAGGAAUACAUCGGAAUCUACUUUUUCGGGGGGGAUAACGUAGGGAAACUUACGCUAAUACCGCAUACGACCUACGGGUGAAAGCAGGGGAUCUUCGGACCUUGCGCGAUUGAAUGAGCCGAUGUCGGAUUAGCUAGUUGGCGGGGUAAAGGCCCACCAAGGCGACGAUCCGUAGCUGGUCUGAGAGGAGGAUCAGCCACACUGGAACUGAGACACGCUCCAGACUCCUACGGGAGGCAGCAGUGGGGAAUAUUGGACAAUGGGCGCAAGCCUGAUCCAGCCAUACCGCGUGGGUGAAGAAGGCGUUCGGGUUGUAAAGCCCUUUUGUUGGGAAAGAAAAGCAGCAGGUUAAUACCCCGCUGUUCUGACGGUACCCAAAGAAUAAGCACCGGCUAACUUCGUG